CUGUCAUUUCCUGUUGUAUGUUUACUUUAGAGGCCAACAGGAGACCAGGAGGAUGAGCCAUUCUUGUCUGGAUGGAGAGGCUUCUUCUCCAGUGUGGGUCUGUCGCUCCCGGCCUCUGUGUGUCGCCUGGCCCCAUCUGCUCUGCGCCUCAGUCACCGCAGAAUGCUCCAAGGAAAAGCUCCAGAAAUUCCCGAACAUGUCCUGAGGCUGGCAGGAGUCGGCCCGGACAAGCUAAGGGCAGAGUGGAGCCUACCAGGCUUCAUCUCCCUGUUCCUGCCGGAGUUUCCACACAGGACGGUACCGGGACAGGAGCAUUUCCAGGUCAUGAGUUACAUCGCCAAAGGCUCAUUUGGGCCCAUUCUUAAAGUGAAGGACAAAGCCAAACAGAAAACCUAUGCUGUAAAAGUAAGUCCUGAAUGUGAAUAUAUGCUGUGUAAAUGUACUUCUCAUAAUGUGUGUUUCUCAUUCAGUUUGUAAUAGACAAGAAAAGAUGUAAAUAUUAUAACAUGAGUUGUACUUAAUAGGUCAUACCGAAAUCAGAAAUCCUUAGGCUUGGUGUUCUGGAGCAGUCAAAGGAAGAAGUCAUUGUCCAGGUGGGUUCAGCAGCAAAUACUUUAAAAUUAAUGACUUAAGUCACCUCAUUCAUUGCAGUCAUAGUUGCCUAAAGCAGUGGUUCACAAAGUGAGGGUCUGGACCAUCCAGGGGGUGGCGAGCAGUGAGCCGGGUUCCCAAGAUAAUUUCAAGAAAAGAAAAAAUAUUGAUCAUAUAUUUAAUAUCGGCCUAAUUCUUAAUUAAAAGCUUAAUUGAAAGCAUAAAUUUGUGAAUUAAGGUCAAAGUAAAUAUAUUACUAAACCAGAUUUUUGAUUGAUUGAUUGAUUUGAGCUAUUAUUAACAAUGAGUUAUUAUUUACAAUAUUUACAUCAUUACAUUUACAUUAUCACAAAAAAACAUAAAAAUAAAAAUAAAUUAAAAUUAAAAAAGAGUAGGCCGAAGCAAGAAAGCUUAUAAGUGCCUACCCCAAGUUCAAAAUACAAAUAUAGCCG
rnacentral:lncRNA from 1 species